UACGUAGGGUGCAAGCGUUAUCCGGAAUCACUGGGCGUAAAGCGUGCGUAGGUGGCGUGUUAAGUGAGAUGUUAAAUCGUGUGGCUCAACCAUAUCGAUGUAUCUCAUACUGGCAUGCUAGAGGACGGCAGAGGCAAGUGGAAUUGGUAGUGUAGCAGUGAAAUGCGUAGAUAUUACCAGGAACACCAAUGGCGAAGGCAGCUUGCUGGGCCACUCCUGACACUGAGGUACGAAAGCGUGGGGAGCGAACAGG
rnacentral:rRNA from 1 species